GACAUGCUGCUGUUGUUCCUGACAGUUUCCGGCGUGCUCAUUGAGGCAUCCGCUGAUAUUGAGCAUGAAAGUCUGUGCUAUGGCAGCACUUUCAACUUACCAGUUCGUUUUACGCCCCCUGAUUUCCGUGGACAACUGUACUUCACUCCGAGCAUGGGGGGAUCCAGGAAGCUGCUGAUCAAUGAUGGGGAGGCAAAGGACCCGCGUCUGAACAUCUCCCUUGGCUCAGUUCGUUUGACAGAUUUGACAGAAAGAGACAAUGGAACUUUUUCCAUCUCAUUUGGUGAUGAAAGCACAAACGAUAUCAUCACGCUGACAAUUGAUGAUUGUGCUGAAAAGAUCACAAAAUAUUACGGGGAUAUCUAUGGCAGUACUCUUCCGAAGGGGACAGAAUUUGUGGAGUUCACUCCGCUUCACCUUCGGGACCAACCACAGGUGGUGUGGAAUGGCACCAACCUGCAGAAGAAUGGCAAAAUACGGAUGUUUUUUUCAUACCUGGAGAUCUUCAGAGUCACUCAAGCAGACAACGGCUACUACAACUUCAGGAAAAAGGACAACACUUUGCUGUCGAGGAUACUGCUCAUAGUACAAGAGAACAAUAGACGCUCUGAAGUAUGGGUAAAAGAGCGGCUCUCCAUCCAAUAUCCGAUGUUCGAUGUUAAGUGGACUGUGACUUUUACACCGAAGGGGAAAAUGGAAACUCAAACGUGGAUAGAGGGAAACAGACUGGUCACAGGGGAUCUUUCAGGGAGGAUUUGGUUGGUGCAUAAUGGCAUAGACAUCGAUGUGGAAAGCACAGACUCUGGCACCUUGGAAUUCAGAGACCGACAAGGCAACCUGGCCUUGACUGUGGAGGUGAACGUAAUAGCUGAGGAAACAGAUCCCACAUUUAUAUAUGUUGCUCCUGCUCUUGUGAUCAUCUUUGUGGUGGUUGUUGGCUGCUGCUGCGUGAAGAAGUUCUGUUUCAAAAAGAGGUCUUCAAGUAACGAGCCUGCUCCUCAGACUGCUGCAGCACCCGCUGUGUAUUACCAUUUUCAAGAUACAAAUCCAAGUUAUUCUGCUGCACCCACAACUUCAGCCCUCUUGUCUCAGCCAAUGACGCCCCCUGUGUCUUCAGAACACUCGAAUGGGCCAUCGGUAGGUGUCAUUCAGAAGUCUUCACAGUGUGAGGAGCCUGGCUGCUGAUUUGGCCCGCUCACCAACAUGAUCAACAGUUGCAACUGCAGCCCUUGAUUUACAACAAUACUUACCUCGCCGUACAGUGUGUUUUUUUUGCUUGCUGUAAUCAUUGGUAAUGAUCACAUCGGCCCCUAAUGUGCUUCCAGUACCUCCAGUAUUACUAGUCGCAACUAUGGAAGAUUCUCACUUAAUUUGUCUCACUCCAGCUUCCUUAUGCCUCAUAUUAGAUUCAGCAGAACAAGGACUGUGCAUUAUGAUCCCCAUUACGUACAUUGGGAAAAAAAUUAUGAGGAGAUCUUUUGAUCACCAUCUUUGAACAGGAGGCAGAAUGAUUACAGCAAGUAAAACCCUUUUCAUUGUUCAUAUGGGAACCAAACCAUUAUCUUAAAACAGACAGAUUAUCUCCAUCUAUGUGUGCAUUGCACAUAAACGUGUGCAAUUAGAAAUCACAGAAAAAAAGACACUCCAACCCCAAAACUUUUUUUUUGCUACCAAAACUUUUUGGGGUUGGAGUGUUUUCUUUAGAAUCAAAGCAUCCAUGAGUGUAUUGCAAACAGAACCUGCUAAGAUUGAAUUUGGCAGACCUUUACUUUGGCAAAGUGUAGACAGAUAUAAGCUAAAAGACAGAGCUAACGGUGUAGCCCGCAACGUAACUCACUGAAUCCAGGGCAACAUUAUGCUUCCUGUUUACAUGAAAUGUAGGGGCACUGACAUUGAACCAGUUACCUCCAGUCUUUCGUUCACUGCCCUCUCCAGGUUGCUGCUCCCACCCUCUCAGUCGGCUCUGAGCCCCAGUCCUCGGACCCCGAGCCAACAUUUGAUCUGAAAGGAGUGACCUUUCCCGCCGCUCCCCUCCUCAGCUCAGACUCGACUCUCUGUGACACGUAUACCUCAGAUAAACUUGACUUUCUGUAAGGAGCACACUGAAAGUUCAAGUGUCAUUGGGUUGACUCUCGCAAUGUGUUCUGCAAAUAACUUGAACACCGAGUAGUAGAGAUGAUGACUGAAAGUGUCGUAGUCAAGACCAAAACACCACAUUUACCAAAUUGAGCCAUAUCGUAUACUAUUUACAUGGUUAUUCCAAUUUUAUUUGUGUGUCUUAAAGUGUAUCAUUAUUUUUUGAGAAUUAUGCAAGAUAAUUUUUUUUUGUUACUUUUUAUUUAAAAAAAAUAUAAAGAUCCUACAAGUGUUUGUCUUCAUUAUAAGUAAAGACGUGUGACCUUACUGUGAGUUUAAUGUUUUAGGAAAAUACAUUUUAUCCUGAUUUUUGAAAGCUGGGUUGAUUCGCCCGUGUUACAAUUCACAGAGAAAAAUUGUAGCAGGUUGGAAAAUAGAAUUGAAACAGUAAUUGAUUAAGAUCUGAGUUUAAUAAGUAUAUAUCUGUCAGUUAGUUUCCAGCACGGGGGUCAGCUGUAUGUCAGGUGGUAGAAAAUGUGGCACGGCUGGUUCUCCCAUUCUAAGCUCUUCCCAUCCGCCUUUUGUUCAAGAAAAAGACUCUUAAUGCAUGUGCACGAGACCACACAUAUGUUUCAAGUAAAUGUAUGGAUAUUAAUACAUUACAUUUUUUCUAAAACACAGCAGCACAAUCCUAGCCUAGUAAAUGUCCACCCGUUUCAAACGUCUCAAAUUCAUGACCAGGGUUUUCUCCAGAAUGUGUCAGGUCCAUAGACUAUAUAAAAGAAAAUAAACUGUACAAAUGGAGUCGUCGUCACCAGGGAAAGUGAAGCCAAUGUGAAACCUGUUUUGUCUGUAAUGACCAGCAGAGGGAGAUUCCACUGUUUGCAAAAAGAAUCAGUUUCUUUAAAAGUAUGUGAGAAAAGGACUCAAUCGAUGUACAACGUCAGUAAACACCUUCCUGAGUAGUUUAUGGUCUCACUCUCCAGUAUCAAGUCUUCUUCAAUACAACAUGAUGUUCAUCAUGGUCCCUUCCUCCAAGUGAAAUAGACAACGAAGCAUGGUAUGCAUUGGGGGCGUGUGAUUGACAGAUAAACUGUCCAGUCCAUGCAAGAUUGCAGGUAAAGGUCAGCGUGCAGUGGACGAGCUCUCAGCCAGGCCUGCCCCCUGCCCCCCUCCCUAAAUGUGGUUACGUCUGACCCCCCCCAUCCCUUCCCCCUUGGGAGGGAUGGCUUUGUACCACAUGCCUCCGUCUCUAAGGACGAAGUCAAAUGUUAUGAAAUACACAUGUACUCAUUGUCUGGGGAAAUUCAGCCACACGUUCCUUCAAUAUUUCAAAGAGCAAAGGGGUUAGACCCAAAACCAGCAUUCCGGAAGCUACGGCGCCAAUAUAGCUGUUUCGUAAAACAAACUUUUUUCCAACUGACUCGUGAUGCGUAAGGAUGUGAAUCGCGGGGCCACGUCUCAUUCGGAUGAACCUCAAACAACCGUCAUGUCCGACAGCCCUCAAACGCAGCCCGGGUCCCUCUACGGACACACCCUGUUGGCUGAGGCCUUGACAACAACCAGCGGACACACGUGAUGCUACACUAACGCAGAGGAAUCUCCCGAGUCAAGAGCGGUGCGUUGUUGUUGAGGUGUCGGUGAAGUGUCGAUGGACUAGCGGCAGAGGGUGUUUUAACUCGGGACUCACGUCGGACGGACACACGAUGAUCGUGCCGCUGCUGCUGCUGCUGCUGAGCGCGUGUGUUAGCACGG
rnacentral:lncRNA from 1 species